UCCUGAGUAGCUCAAUGGUAGAGCAUCCGGCUGUUAACCGGACGGUUCUAAGUUCGAAUCUUAGCUCAGGAG
rnacentral:tRNA from 1 species